GACAUAUAAUAUAAUAUUAUAAUAUUACGGAUUGACAUUUUGAGAAGAAAUGUAUUAAUAUAAACCUUUCCGUUAUUCAAAAUUUGUCCAUAUAUAUUUCCACCGAAAAUUUUUACAUUCCUCUGAAACCUAAAUAGACAACAACCGAGUCAGACCAAUAUAUCUGGAUUCUGAAAUUGUAUUUCUAAAAUAUACGAAACAAAUUUCAAAGAUAGACGACGGGAAAUAUUUGAAAAAGAAAAAUGUAUAAGUUCAGUGAUGUACAAUCUCAGAAUAUGGAAUAAGUAAUAAGCUUGUAUACGUAUAAAAAUUUGCAUACAUAGCAUUUCCAAUAAAAAAAUAAAUGAAACAAUACUUUUCCAAAUUUAUAAUAAAUAACAUUGAACAUGACAAUAUAAAAAUAAUAUUAUUAUUUAUUAUUAAAUAUAAUGUAUUGUAUCUAAAUUAUAUGCCGGAAAUGCUGAAAAAAGACUCCACCAAAUUUUAUAAUAUUAUUUGAAAUACUAUUUUAAAAUGUAAAAUACAUUCACUUGAUUUUAUAUUUUUGUCUAAUUAUUUUAUUCACAGUUUAACUAUUUCAAAUAUUUAUAUAUUUUAUCGCAAUAUAAUUAUGUAAAAAAAGCCUUGUUACCAUUGUUAAAGUCUUUUCAUUAAAAAAGUUAAAUCAUUUUAUUUAUUAAAAUCAAACAGGGCAAGUAAUUCGGACAGACCUUUUUAAGAGAUGACAUGCAAUUCGAAUGCAGCGGAAACUUGAAUGUAAUGAUAUAACUAUUAUAACUAUAAAAGGUAUAUCUAUUACAUAAUAUAUCAUCAUGCGUAUAUGUGCACAUUCUGAGAGUGAAUUACAAAUUUAUUUUUAAAUAAAUGAAUUAAGUAAGAAUAAUGAAAGAAACAGUUAUUAAUUAUUAUCUACCCUAAAAUUGAGAAGAACUAUCCAAAUCAGUGUAGAAACAAGGAGAAUAUUCCAUACAAUAACUUUAAAAAGAUAAAUUCCUAUGUUUUUUG